rnacentral:rRNA from 1 species
GACGAACGCUGGCGGCGUGCUUAACACAUGCAAGUCGAACGCUGAAGCACCAGCUUGCUGGUGUGGAUGAGUGGCGAACGGGUGAGUAAUACGUGAGUAACCUGCCCUUGACUCUGGGAUAAGCCCGGGAAACUGGGUCUAAUACUGGAUGCUACAUGUCACCGCAUGGUGGUGUGUGGAAAGGGUUUACUGGUCUUGGAUGGGCUCACGGCCUAUCAGCUUGUUGGUGAGGUAAUGGCUCACCAAGGCGACGACGGGUAGCCGGCCUGAGAGGGUGACCGGCCACACUGGGACUGAGACACGGCCCAGACUCCGACGGGAGGCAGCAGUGGGGAAUAUUGCACAAUGGGCGAAAGCCUGAUGCAGCGACGCCGCGGGAGGGAGGACGGCCUUCGGGUUGUAAACCUCUUUCAGCAGGGAAGAAGCCACAAGUGACGGUACCUGCAGAAGAAGCGCCGGCUAACUACGUG